AAGUCGUAACAAGGUCUCCGUAGGUGAACCUGCGGAGGGAUCAUUCACAUGAUAUACUUUAAUAAACAAACUGUGAACUUUAUACAAUACUAUUCGUGUUUGUAUCACUAUUUAUUUAGUUGAUCAAACAUUGUCAUUCGAUUGAACAUAAGAUAGUUGGCUUGAAAUUAUCACAAUUUCUUUCUCAGCUUUGAUUUGAUAUUACUAAACAUUUUAUCAUUUCAACCAUAAAACAUAGAAACAACUCUAUGCCCUGGAUAUCUUGGUUCUC
rnacentral:misc_RNA from 1 species